rnacentral:rRNA from 1 species
AGCGGACGCUGGCGGCAGGCUUAACACAUGCAAGUCGAGCGGGCAUAGCAAUAUGUCAGCGGCAGACGGGUGAGUAACGCGUGGGAACGUACCUUUUGGUUCGGAACAACUGAGGGAAACUUCAGCUAAUACCGGAUAAGCCCUUACGGGGAAAGAUUUAUCGCCGAAAGAUCGGCCCGCGUCUGAUUAGCUAGUUGGUGAGGUAAUGGCUCACCAAGGCGACGAUCAGUAGCUGGUCUGAGAGGAUGAUCAGCCACAUUGGGACUGAGACACGGCCCAAACUCCUACGGGGGGCAGCAGUGGGGAAUAUUGGACAAUGGGCGCAAGCCUGAUCCAGCCAUGCCGCGUGAGUGAUGAAGGCCCUAGGGUUGUAAAGCUCUUUUGUGCGGGAAGAUAAUGACGGUACCGCAAGAAUAAGCCCCGGCUAACUUCGUGCCAGCCGCCGCAGUAA